rnacentral:tRNA from 1 species
GCCCCUGUGGCGCAGUGGUAGCGCGCUCCCACGGUAUGGGAGAGGUCCUCGGUUCAAACCCGGGCAGGAGCA